rnacentral:rRNA from 1 species
UUAAUUGAAGAGUUUGAUCAUGGCUCAGAUUGAACGCUGGCGGCAGGCCUAACACAUGCAAGUCGAGCGGAAACGACAACAUUGACCCUUCGGGUGAUUUGUUGGGCGUCGAGCGGCGGACGGGUGAGUAAUGCCUGGGAAAUUGCCCUGAUGUGGGGGAUAACCAUUGGAAACGAUGGCUAAUACCGCAUAACGUCUACGGACCAAAGAGGGGG